AUUCAAAUUCAAAUUCCUGACCGUUAGAUUUAAACCUCCACUCCUCUCUGAGCUUUGUUUGGCUUUUUAAAAUUAUAUUCCCUCUGCGUUCCCUUAUCUGGCCAUUUCUUCAUUUCCUCUCCAUCUCUGCGAAUCCGAAGACACCAUCUCCGUGUCUUUAUCGCUCUAUUGAAACCCUAAACUGUUUCCCAUAAUCUGUCCAAGAAACCCUGAAUUUCUCCUAUUGUAAGGUCCAUUUCCAGAAAUCCUAAUAUCCUCUCUCUCUCUCUCUCUCAAGAUUCGAAUCCAUGGAGUCCAAAAGGAAAAGAAAAAGGAGAGAGAGAGAGAAACCCCGAAAGAAAAAAAGGAAAAUAAUUAAUGAGUGGUCGUCUCUGUGGUUCUACUCUGUUCUUGAUCAACACUCCCCUGUUUCACCAUCUCAGCACCACCACCAUUACCAUUCUCUAAUUUAUCACUCUUUUCCCUGCAAGAACAGCUCAUUGUACUCUAUUAUCACCAAACGAAGACGACCUUCUAUGCAUUGGAGUAGCCAAGAAAGUUGGUUUCACUUCUCCAGCCAUAAUCACCAAUAUCUUCUCUUCAAAGGCUUCAGGAUGCUGUUUCUGUCCUUCGCCAUUUUUAUUUGAUCCCUCACCUGUCUCGUGGUCCCUUUCUUCUCCUUCGUUGCCGUUUUCCAGGUUCCUAGAUAGCUUCCAGUAGGAGCAGGAGAGAAUCAAGAGGGCAAAAGCAAUCAAGCCAAGCAUGGCAGCCAAGCCACCAAACAAGCAGGGCAAAGGUGAAUGCCAGGGCAAGCGUUGUCCGACCACCGGCGUUGGAGCUCGUGCUGUGACGUUGAAGGGCUCUCUCCCUGCCAUUUCUUUAUGUAAAUAGAUGGAGAAAGGAUAGUAGAUUGAAAAAGAAGAAGGAGGAGGUGGAGGAGUGGUGAGUGGUGGUGGUGGCGGUGGCAGUGGGGGACUUGGAUCCCUUGAUUUCCUUAGAAGCAAUCAACAGUUCCAAACAUUGCGUUCAAUGGUUCAGGCAAAUCCUCAAAUUUUACAGGUCUAUUUCUUUUCCUUUUCUCCCUCUUUUUUAUUUUUUUUUUUCUGUGAUUAAAUUUGCUAUAUCUUAGUUCAAUAUACUGCUUCUAUGACAGCCCAUGCUUCAGGAACUUGGAAAGCAAAAUCCUCACCUAUUAAGAAUGAUUCAAGAACAUCAUGCUGAAUUUCUUCAGUUAAUAAAUGAACCUCUUGAAGGUUCUGAAGGGUGAGUAGUUAAUUGGGUCAUUAGGUAAACUAUAAGAAAGACUGCUGAACAGAACUAUUGGUUCAUUAAGGAUGCAGAGAAUUCCAUAUCUAAUGGAUAGUGUUUCAUCAUUGUCAUCAGCAUUGCAAAAACCAUCAGUAUCUAGAGAAUAGUUAGUAAAAGGUCCGCAUUUAUAGUUUAAAAUAUAUGGGAUUCAAACUCUCCAAAUAACUUCUCUUUGCAUUCACAUCUGGAUUAUGAAUACUUGGAAUCCAUAUUAUGCAAGGAGACAUUGCUUUUGGUAGUUCAAAUUGAAGACUAAGACAUUGCAACUAGCCCUAAUGUUUUCCCCUAUCAGGGAUAUAUUUGAUCAGGUUGACCAAGACAUGCCUCAUGCUAUCAAUGUGACCCCUGCUGAACAGGAGGCUAUUGAACGGGUAUCUGUACAUUGUCAUUGCAUCACUGGCUUCUGCCUUUGUAUUUUUGUCCUUAUAGAUAUUGCUUUCCCUGAUAUCUGAAUUUACUAAUUAGUUGUAUUUUCCCAUUUAUAGCUUGAGGCUAUGGGAUUUGAUAGAGCCCUUGUCAUCGAGGCAUUUUUGGCUUGUGAUCGCAAUGAGGAAUUGGCAGCUAACUACCUGUUGGAAAAUGCUGGAGAUUUUGAGGAUUGAGCAGAGAAACUUAUCCUGUUGGAUUUAUAGUUUUUCGUUUUUGUUUUUAUUUAUUUAAUUAUUAUUAUUAUUUUAUAGAUGGAUCUUUGCCUUUGUCGGCAUCUUUAGUAGUGUUUGGAUUACAUUGUAAGCCCUGAUCACGAUUCCUUAAAAGUAAUUUUGGGAACGUUUUAUGGCAUGCCAUUUGACUCUUACACUUUGUUUGGAUAAUUUGAGGGAGGGGAAGGAAAAUAAAAGAAGGGAUUAUAUUUUUAUUUUUCCUCUUUUAUUUUUCCUUCUGAUGUUUGGAUAAGUGAAAAAUAAAAAAAGAAGAAAAG
rnacentral:misc_RNA from 1 species